rnacentral:tRNA from 3 species
AAGAGAGUAGCCCAAGCUUAAGGCAACUAGCUGUUAACUAGUAGAUGCGAUUAAUCGCCUUUCUUU